rnacentral:rRNA from 1 species
GAUGAACGCUAGCUACAGGCUUAACACAUGCAAGUCGAGGGGCAGCACUAGGUAGCAAUACUGAGGUGGCGACCGGCGCACGGGUGCGUAACGCGUAUCCAACCUUCCCGUUACUCUUGGAUAGCCUUCCGAAAGGGAGAUUAAUACAAGAUGGUAUUCAAAUUCCGCAUGUUAUUUGAAUUAAAGAUUAAUCGGUAACGGAUGGGGAUGCGUGACAUUAGAUAGUAGGCGGGGUAACGGCCCACCUAGUCUACGAUGUCUAGGGGUUCUGAGAGGAAGGUCCCCCACACUGGAACUGAGACACGGUCCAGACUCCUACGGGAGGCAGCAGUGAGGAAUAUUGGUCAAUGGUCGGAAGACUGAACCAGCCAAGUAGCGUGAAGGAUGAAGGUUCUAUGGAUUGUAAACUUCUUUUAUACGGGAAUAAAGCCCGCUACGUGUAGCGGUUUGUAUGUACCGUAUGAAUAAGCAUCGGCUAACUCCGUG